UUCCAGGGCUACCCUGACACUUCCUUCUGGGAGCAAGCUCUCAGGGGACCACCUGAGGCUGACCUUUAGCUAGUCAAAGGGCGCUAUUUCCUGUUCCUGGCCUGAGCAGUAAGGCUUGAAGAAUCAUGUUUUCCUGCUUCCUGAUGAAAGGACCAUGUGAAGAUGAGAAGAAAGACCAUCUUCCACCGGGCAGGUGAUGUGCCUCACUUUUAGGAACCCACUGGAGUCUUUGCAUAUACCACAAGAGGAGACGUGAUCAUCUGCUAAGCAGCCUCAAGGAAGACGUUUCCACAAGUUCACAUGACUGGGUAUAGUGUGGCGCCUAUGUGCAUGGGAACUGAGGUUUGACUAAUUUUCAGAGCUCUAAUCUGCCUUUUGGUCCACUCCAAGAGCCUUGGGUAAAGAGCUCACACCUCUGACAGCCAUGUGCUUAUGACACUGGACCAAACUCAGGAAGCAAUCAGUGUGUUUGAAGAUUGAAUCGCUGAAUGAAAACGAACAAGAAAUGGAGUUUCAUCUUUAUGUUAAAAUGCUUUUGUGAUUUUAAAAAAGAUUGAUCUUAUAAUUUAUUCAUGAGCAUGUGUGUGUA